rnacentral:rRNA from 1 species
UGACUGUGCUAAGGUAGCAUAAUAAUUUGCCUUUUAAUUGAAGGCUAGAAUGAAAGGUUUAACUUGACCUCAACUGUCUCAUUUGCAAAGUCUUGAAAUUAGAUUUUGGGUGAAAAUCCCCAAAUGCUUCAGGGGGACGAGAAGACCCCGUAGAUCUUAACUUAGUCCAAUCUUAACUUGGUUGGUUACUCAGUUUACCUGGGAGGGGGUUUAUGAACACUUUAUACUUUAAAGGGUAAUAGCCCUAAUUUGUGGACCCAUAGAAAUGGGAGUUAGAAAAAGUUACCUCGGGGAUAACAGCGCUAUGAACCUCUCUUAGGCCAGAUGGGGUGAGGUAGUUUGCGACCUCGAUGUUGAAUUAAA